rnacentral:rRNA from 1 species
AGUGAACGCUGGCGGUAGGCCUAACACACGCAAGUCGAACGGCAGCACAGUAAGAGCUUGCUCUUACGGGUGGCGAGUGGCGGACGGGUGAGGAAUACAUCGGAAUCUACUUUUUCGUGGGGGAUAACGUAGGGAAACUUACGCUAAUACCGCAUACGACCUACGGGUGAAAGCAGGGGAUCUUCGGACCUUGCGCGAUUGAAUGAGCCGAUGUCGGAUUAGCUAGUUGGCGGGGUAAAGGCCCACCAAGGCGACGAUCCGUAGCUGGUCUGAGAGGAUGAUCAGCCACACUGGAACUGAGACACGGUCCAGACUCCUACGGGAGGCAGCAGUGGGGAAUAUUGGACAAUGGGCGCAAGCCUGAUCCAGCAAUACCGCGUGGGUGAAGAAGGCCUUCGGGUUGUAAAGCCCUUUUGUUGGGAAAGAAAAGCAGCAGGUUAAUACCCCGCUGUUCUGACGGUACCCAAAGAAUAAGCACCGGCUAACUUCGUG